GGAAGGAUCAUUACUGAAUUGUCAAACGGGUUGUUGCUGGCCCUCAUAGGGGGCAUGUGCACGCUCUGUUUACACAUCCACUCACACCUGUGCACCCUCUGUAGUUCUAUGGUCUGGGGGACCCUGUCUUCCUUCUGUGGUUCUAUGUCUUUACACACACACUGUAAUAAAGUUUUAUGGAAUGUACAUCGCGUCUAACGCAAUACAAUACAACUUUCAGCAACGGAUCUCUUGGCUCUCGCAUCGAUGAAGAACGCAGCGAAAUGCGAUAAGUAAUGUGAAUUGCAGAAUUCAGUGAAUCAUCGAAUCUUUGAACGCACCUUGCGCCCCUUGGCUAUUCCGAGGGGCAUGCCUGUUUGAGUAUCAUGAACACCUCAACUCUCAUGGUUUGCCAUGAUGAGUUGGACUCUGGGGGUUUUGCUGGCCUGUGGUCGGCUCCUCUCAAAUUAAUCAGCCUCCCAGUGUUUGGUGGCAUCACGGGUGUGAUAAAUAUCUACGCUCGCUGUUGUCUGCCAGGUAACCUUUGGUCACAAAGGUUCGCUGGAGCUCACAGAUGUCUCUCCUCAGUGAGGACAGCUUUUUUAACGUUCGAUCUCAAAU
rnacentral:rRNA from 1 species